rnacentral:rRNA from 1 species
GCCCAGACUCCUACGGGAGGCAGCAGUGGGGGAUAUUGCACAAUGGGGGGAACCCUGAUGCAGCGACGCCGCGUGGGUGAAGGAGCGUUUCGGCGCGUAAAGCCCUAUCGGCAGGGAAGAAGAUGACGGUACCUGACCAAGAAGCCCCAGCUAACUACGUGCCAGCAGCCGCGGUAAUACGUAGGGGGCAAGCGUUAUCCGGUUUUACUGGGUGUAAAGGGUGCGCAGGCGGCCUGUUAAGCCAGCGGUAAAAGCCGGGGCCCAACCCCCGGCGAGCCGUUGAAACUGGCGGGCUGGAGUUGGAGAGAAGUACGCGGAAUGCGCGGUGUAGCGGUGAAAUGCUUAGAUAUCGCGCAGAACCCCGAUUGCGAAGGCAGCGUACCGGCUCCACACUGACGCUGAGGCACGAAAGCGUGGGUAUCGAACAGGAUUAGAUACCCCAGUA